rnacentral:rRNA from 1 species
GCUUACGGGUAGCUGGUCUGAGAGGAUGGUCAGCCACACUGGGACUGAGACACUGCCCAGACUCCUACGGGAGGCUGCAGUCGAGAAUCAUUCGCAAUGCGCGAAAGCGUGACGAUGCGACGCCGCGUGCAGGAUGAAGGCCUUAGGGUCGUAAACUGCUGUCAUGGGGGAGUAACGGCUGCGGCGCGAACAGCACCGCGGUGUGAUAGUACCCCAAGAGGAAGCCACGGCUAACUCUGUGCCAGCAGCCGCGGUAAUACAGAGGUGGCGAGCGUUGUUCGGAUUUACUGGGCGUAAAGGGUGCGCAGGCGGCUCCGUGUGUCAGAUGUGAAAUCUCACCGUCCAUCGGUGAACGUGCAUUUGAAACUGCGGGGCUAGAGUACGGGAGAGGAGAGCGGAAUUCUCGGUGUAGCGGUGAAAUGCGUAGAUAUCGAGAAGAACGCCGGUGGCGAAGGCGGCUCUCUGGAACGCUACUGACGCUGAGGCACGAAAGCUGGGGGAGCAAACAGGAUUAGAUACCCUGGUAGUCCCAGCCGUGAACGUUGUGCACUUGGUGUGGGAAGGUUUGUCCCUUUCCGUGCCGGAGUUAACGCGUUAAGUGCACCGCCUGGGGAAUACGGCCGCAAGGCUAAAACUCAAAGGAAUUGACGGGGGCCCGCACAAGCGGUGGAGCAUGUGGCUUAAUUCGAUGCAACGCGAAGAACCUUACCAGGGUUUGACAUGGAGACCCUUCGGGGGUGGGUGCGAAAGCACCCUUUACUCACACAGGUGCUGCAUGGCUGUCGUCAGCUCGUGCCGUAAGGUGUUGGGUUAAGUCCCGCAACGAGCGCAACCCUUGUGGUUAGUUGCCAGUAUCCUUCGGGAUGCGCACUCUAGCCAGACUGCCCGUGAUAAGCGGGAGGAAGGUGGGGAUGACGUCAAGUCAGUAUGGUCCUUAUGCCCUGGGCUGCACACGUGCUACAAUGGGCGGUACAGAGGGAAGCGAUACCGCGAGGUAAAGCUAAUCCUUAAAACCGUCCUCAGUUCGGAUCGGAGUCUGCAACUCGACUCCGUGAAGUUGGAAUCGCUAGUAAAGGCGUAUCAGCUAUGACGCCUCGAAUACGUUCCCGGGCCUUGUACACACCGCCCGUCACAUCACGAAAGCCGAUUGCACCCGAAGUCGCCGGCCUAACCCGUUAGGGAUGGAGGCGCCGAAGGUGUG